rnacentral:lncRNA from 1 species
CUAUUUCAUAUACGUGUAUCUUAAUAUAGUAAACACACAUAUGCCUCCAAAUCACUCUGUAUUUUUAGACUAAGAAAAGAAGAACUGGGGAUUUUAUUCGAAACGCCUGCCUUUGGAGAGUGUACUUCGGUCAGCACCCGCUCCUGUGUCUGCCUUUGCAUGUCUGUAUGUCUAGAAUCAUGGUGUUUAAUUAGAGAGUAAGAGAUACAGUUCACAUCCUUAACCAAAUAUUAGUUCUGUAUGAUACAGCAGGAGAAAGUACAUAUAUCUGAGAAUGACCUUAAGUUUUUCAGGCUGCUUACUACAGUAUUAGCUUAUAAAAUCUGUAACAUACAUGCCUCAGAGAAUUAAGAGCA